rnacentral:rRNA from 1 species
UGGGGAAUAUUGGACAAUGGGCGAAAGCCUGAUCCAGCCAUGCCGCGUGUGUGAAGAAGGUCUUCGGAUUGUAAAGCACUUUAAGUUGGGAGGAAGGGCAGUAAGCGAAUACCUUGCUGUUUUGACGUUACCGACAGAAUAAGCACCGGCUAACUCUGUGCCAGCAGCCGCGGUAAUACAGAGGGUGCAAGCGUUCAUCGGAAUUACUGGGCGUAAAGCGCGCGUAGGUGGUUCGUUAAGUUGAAUGUGAAAGCCCCGGGCUCAAACAGGGAACAGCAUCCAAAACUGGCGAGCUAGAGUAGGGCAGAGGGUGGUGGAAUUUCCUGUGUAGCGGUGAAAUGCGUAGAUAUAGGAAGGAACACCAGUGGCGAAGGAGACCACCUGGGCUCAUACUGACACUGAGGUGCGAAAACGUGGGGAGCAGACAGG